rnacentral:rRNA from 1 species
CGGGAUUAGUGGCGGACGGGUGAGUAACACGUGGGAACGUGCCUUUUGGUUCGGAACAACUCAGGGAAACUUGAGCUAAUACCGGAUGUGCCCUUCGGGGGAAAGAUUUAUCGCCAUUAGAGCGGCCCGCGUCUGAUUAGCUUGUUGGUGAGGUAAAGGCUCACCAAGGCUACGAUCAGUAGCUGGUCUGAGAGGAUGAUCAGCCACAUUGGGACUGAGACACGGCCCAA